CCGUCAUACCGCCCGAGGCGCUCAGAGCUACAGCCAUCCAGGAAUCCGGGUACCCUGGGCGGUAGCACACGAGGGACGUAGCAGCAGGUGUGCAGGUAGGUAGGGCGUGUAGGGGAGCGGCAGUAGCAGUUAGCAGUUAGCAGUUAGCAACAGAAGUUAGCAGCUAGAAAUGGCAGCUAGCAAUAGCAGUAACAAUAGCAGUUAGCAGUUAGCAAUAACAACUGGAGCUGUAGCAUUACUGCCACCUUCCAUCACUUGUACAGCCACAUACAGGCGACAUUACUGCUACUGCUGCUACACCCCGUUCCAUUUAUACGCCGGUAGGAGCAGCAGCAUGGACGGCAGUAGCAG
rnacentral:lncRNA from 1 species